rnacentral:rRNA from 1 species
UACGAAGGGGGCUAGCGUUGCUCGGAAUUACUGGGCGUAAAGGGCGCGUAGGCGGAUGUCUAAGUUGGGGGUGAAAUCCCGGGGCUCAACCUCGGAACAGCCUUCAAUACUGGAUAUCUUGAGUUCGGGAGAGGUGAGUGGAAUGCCGAGUGUAGAGGUGAAAUUCGUAGAUAUUCGGCGGAACACCAGUGGCGAAGGCGACUCACUGGCCCGAUACUGACGCUGAGGCGCGAAAGCGUGGGGAGCAAACGGG